CUUGUACUCCCUCCAUUCGGAAUUACUUGUCUAAAAAAUGGAUGUAUCUAGAACUAAAAUACGUCUAGAUACAUCUAUUUCUACGACAAGUAAUUUCGAACGAAGGGAGUAUUAU
rnacentral:pre_miRNA from 1 species